AAGUCUGGUUGUGGUGGCCUCCCUAUUCCAAUUGAUCCAUUCGUGCGACAAUAUUUCCUAGUUGAAAGCUUAGUUGGGUGAAAACGUUUGUGAUUCUUUCCUUGAUGUUGACAGGUCUGCUAUUGGUGCUGUGAUGAAAAAUGGUGAAGUACCUAUAAGAAAAGGUUAGUGAAGGUAAAUAAAUUUUGUUGUAAGCAUGGACAUGGAUCAUAAAGAGAAGGUCUCAUCCAAUGAA
rnacentral:lncRNA from 1 species